rnacentral:rRNA from 1 species
GUUGUAUGGUUAAGUGACUAAGCGUACACGGUGGAUGCCUUGGCAGUCAGAGGCGAUGAAAGACGUAGUAACUUGCGAUAAGCCCAGAUUAGGUAGUAACAACCAUUUGAGUCUGGGAUUUCUGAAUGGGGAAACCCACGUGCAUAAGCACGUAUCCUUACCUGAAUACAUAGGGUAAGGAGGCGAACCGGGGGAACUGAAACAUCUAAGUACCCCGAGGAAAAGAAAUCAACCGAGAUUCCGAAAGUAGCGGCGAGCGAAAUUGGACUAGCCCUUAAGCUUUACACGCGUUAGACGAACGGUCUGGAAAGUCCGACGAUACAGGGUGAUAGUCCCGUAGUUGACGACGUGUGUUCAGUGAAAUCGAGUAGGGCGGGACACGUGAUAUCCUGUCUGAAUAUGGGGGGACCAUCCUCCAAGGCUAAAUACUACUGACUGACCGAUAGUGAACCAGUACCGUGAGGGAAAGGCGAAAAGAACCCCUGUGAGGGGAGUGAAAUAGAACCUGAAACCGUGUACGUACAAGCAGUAGGAGCACCUUCGUGGUGUGACUGCGUACCUUUUGUAUAAUGGGUCAGCGACUUAUAUUCAGUGGCAAGGUUAACCAUCUAGGGGAGCCGUAGGGAAACCGAGUCUUAACUGGGCGUUCAGUCUCUGGAUAUAGACCCGAAACCAGGUGAUCUAGCCAUGGGCAGGUUGAAGGUUGAGUAACAUCAACUGGAGGACCGAACCGACUAAUGUUGAAAAAUUAGCGGAUGACUUGUGGCUAGGGGUGAAAGGCCAAUCAAACCUGGAGAUAGCUGGUUCUCCCCGAAAGCUAUUUAGGUAGCGCCUCGGACGAAUACUACUGGGGGUAGAGCACUGUUAAGGCUAGGGGGUCAUCCCGACUUACCAACCCUUUGCAAACUCCGAAUACCAGUAAGUACUAUCCGGGAGACACACGGCGGGUGCUAACGUCCGUCGUGGAGAGGGAAACAACCCAGACCGCCAGCUAAGGUCCCAAAUUACUACUAAGUGGGAAACGAUGUGGGAAGGCUCAGACAGCCAGGAUGUUGGCUUAGAAGCAGCCAUCAUUUAAAGAAAGCGUAAUAGCUCACUGGUCGAGUCGGCCUGCGCGGAAGAUGUAACGGGGCUAAGUAGUAAACCGAAGCUGCGGCAAURURCUUUUGYAYAUUGGGUAGGGGAGCGUUCUGUAAGCGGUUGAAGGUGUGUGGUAACGCAUGCUGGACGUAUCAGAAGUGCGAAUGCUGACAUGAGUAACGAUAAAGGGGGUGAAAAACCUCCUCGCCGGAAGACCAAGGGUUCCUGUCCAACGUUAAUCGGGGCAGGGURAGUCGACCCCUAAGGCGAGGCCGAAAGGCGUAGUCGAUGGGAAACGGGUUAAUAUUCCCGUACUUCUUACAAUUGCGAUGGGGGGACGGAGAAGGCUAGGUGGGCCUGGCGACGGUUGUCCAGGUUCAAGUGYGUAGGCUUAAGAGUUAGGUAAAUCCGGCUCUUUUUAAGGCUGAGACACGACGUCGAGCAYCUACGGRUGUGAAGUCAUUGAUGCCAUGCUUCCAGGAAAAGCCUCUAAGCUUCAGAUUGUAAGGAAUCGUACCCCAAACCGACACAGGUGGUCGGGUAGAGAAUACCAAGGCGCUUGAGAGAACUCGGGUGAAGGAACUAGGCAAAAUGGUACCGUAACUUCGGGAGAAGGUACGCUCUYGAYGGUGAAGUCCCUCGCGGAUGGAGCURWYGAGAGUCGCAGAUACCAGGUGGCUGCAACUGUUUAUUAAAAACACAGCACUGUGCAAAAUCGUAAGAUGACGUAUACGGUGUGACGCCUGCCCGGUGCCGGAAGGUUAAUUGAUGGGGUUAGACUUCGGUCGAAGCUCUUGAUCGAAGCCCCGGUAAACGGCGGCCGUAACUAUAACGGUCCUAAGGUAGCGAAAUUCCUUGUCGGGUAAGUUCCGACCUGCACGAAUGGCGUAAUGAUGGCCACGCUGUCUCCACCCGAGACUCAGUGAAAUUGAAAUCGCUGUGAAGAUGCAGUGUACCCGCGGCUAGACGGAAAGACCCCGUGAACCUUUACUACAGCUUGGCACUGAACAUUGACCCUACAUGUGUAGGAUAGGUGGGAGGCUUUGAAGCACGUACGCCAGUAUGUGUGGAGCCGUCCUUGAAAUACCACCCUUGUAGUGUUGAUGUUCUAACGUCGACCCCUWAUCGGGGUUGCGGACAGUGCCUGGUGGGUAGUUUGACUGGGGCGGUCUCCUCCCAAAGAGUAACGGAGGAGCACGAAGGUGGGCUAAUCACGGUUGGACAUCGUGAGGUUAGUGCAAUGGCAUAAGCCCGCUUGACUGCGAGAAUGACAAUUCGAGCAGGUGCGAAAGCAGGUCAUAGUGAUCCGGUGGUUCUGAAUGGAAGGGCCAUCGCUCAACGGAUAAAAGGUACUCCGGGGAUAACAGGCUGAUACCGCCCAAGAGUUCAUAUCGACGGCGGUGUUUGGCACCUCGAUGUCGGCUCAUCACAUCCUGGGGCUGAAGUCGGUCCCAAGGGUAUGGCUGUUCGCCAUUUAAAGUGGUACGCGAGCUGGGUUUAGAACGUCGUGAGACAGUUCGGUCCCUAUCUGCCGUGGGCGUUGGAAGAUUGAAGGGGGCUGCUCCUAGUACGAGAGGACCGGAGUGGACGAACCUCUGGUGUUCGGGUUGUGUCGCCAGACGCAUUGCCCGGUAGCUAAGUUCGGAAUCGAUAACCGCUGAAAGCAUCUAAGCGGGAAGCGAGCCCUGAGAUGAGUCUUCCCUGAUUACAACACCC